CAGGUGACAUGGUGGCGAUGCAGGUUGAUGAACAGAGGAUCGAGGAAGACGACGAUGAAGGGGAACAGAUGAUGACAGACAAAAAACAAAUCAGGAACAACAGGUCGGUAUCUGAGAUUUCAGAGAACCCAAAGGAAAAGAGGCAGUCGUCUGAUGCAAGCCAGAUUUUGAAAACUUAUGAUGACAUAAGACUUAAGCAAUGUUAUUUCUAAAGGAUGUAAUGCUUUUGUCCUUUAUGCCUCACUCUUAAAGCAUUUAAUUUUCUCUUUGUCAUUGUUUGAGUUAAACUGUCAAAUAAAAUAAACUGGAAAGGUGUCA